CCAGUGUGCCGCUAGAUGGUGUUGGUAUUGUUUUUUAAAUGGCGAAAUGUGUAAUCGAUUCAGUGAAUGUGUUUUCGAAUUUUCAUGUUUUACUGCCCAAAAUCAACUAAUUAUUUACAUAAAAUGUACCUGCUGUCUAGUCAUCAGAUUAAAUUUGGACCUCAUUUAAAAAAAAACCAAUUGCUCCACUCUUCUGUGACUCACACACUCAGCUUCAUCUGCAUCAUCCUCUCACAUCUUAGACAAAACUGCAAGCUGUUUUGCCCAAAAGUUGUGGCAUUGCAUAUACGGUUACAGGUUCCUUGCCUGAAAGAUAUUUACACCUUUGAACACUUUUGUUGGGGUUGUUGCAUCAUGAAAUUGUAUUGCUGCCAUUACCUGCAUGUCCCACUUCAUAGCUACAAGAAACGAGCCUUCUACAAAGCCUAGAACAGAUUGAGGAAUUCAUAGGUUGUGUGGUAUGCCAUUGGAUCCAUUGGAUUUUGCGAGUCAGCCGCCGAUGUCAAUCUACAACGCAGUUUCUUUAUUGGAAUUGUGUGGUCCUGGCACUGAGAUCCUUGAUGCUGGCCUUUGUCCAUUACAGAAGAUUGACUUCUACCAACUCUCUGCUCCAUCCUUAUCUUCGCUACCCACACUCAUCUAGCUUCUCUGCUUAUUAUACUGCUUAACAAUUUGCUUCACUGACGAGUUAGACCAGUCGCUUCCGUCCGCCUAUCACUCUCCACGGAAUCAUGCCCAGGUAAUGCAGAUGAGACUUCGACAAGAUGGAUUUCUCAUCUUUAAAUAUCGUCAGCGGUCUCCGUUGGAUGUUGCCCCUGCUCUGGCAUUGGAAAGGGACAAUCGCGACCGGCAUCGUCAUCAACGUGGAUCAUCGCGACCGGCACCAAGACUCGUCAUCAACGUGGAUCAUCGUCUUGUUGGUAUUAUUUCGUUAUGUGUUAGUUAACCCGUUGGCUGCCACGCCUUUGUU